rnacentral:rRNA from 1 species
AUUGAACGCUGGCGGCAGGCCUAACACAUGCAAGUCGAGCGGAUGAAGGGAGCUUGCUCCUGGAUUCAGCGGCGGACGGGUGAGUAAUGCCUAGGAAUCUGCCUGGUAGUGGGGGAUAACGUCCGGAAACGGGCGCUAAUACCGCAUACGUCCUGAGGGAGAAAGUGGGGGAUCUUCGGACCUCACGCUAUCAGAUGAGCCUAGGUCGGAUUAGCUAGUUGGUGGGGUAAAGGCCUACCAAGGCGACGAUCCGUAACUGGUCUGAGAGGAUGAUCAGUCACACUGGAACUGAGACACGGUCCAGACUCCUACGGGAGGCAGCAGUGGGGAAUAUUGGACAAUGGUCGAAAGCCUGAUCCAGCCAUGCCGCGUGUGUGAAGAAGGUCUUCGGAUUGUAAAGCACUUUAAGUUGGGAGGAAGGGCAGUAAGUUAAUACCUUGCUGUUUUGACGGUACCAACAGAAUAAGCACCGGCUAACUUCGUG